GAUUAUCGCAUCGAAACUGGAAAGAAAUGCUUGCUCAUCGUCGGUCUUUGUUAAUACCCCAUUUAACGGGUCGUGACAAUUACAGGGAAUGGAGCCAAAAGAUGGAACUUCUCUUGCGAAUCAGGAAAUGGUGGCCUGUGGUAUUAUCACCUCCAAGGCCCAUUAAAACUACGGCUGGCAAUCGGGAGAAUUUUAUUUUUGUCGCUUCCCGUAAACGGAUAUACGAACAGUGCCCAAAUUCACUAAAUCGCUAUGUAAACUUAUUCAUCUGUAGAUACAUAGAUCAUAAUAUUAUGAGGCCGAAUUAUCGUAAGAUGAGCGUGCCUCGUCUUUGGUAUAAAUUGAGACGUACUUUUGCACCUAGAAAACAGAAAAAAACCUCAGAGAUUCAAUGAAGAAAUUGGCAAAACUUUGUAAAUUGUUUGGCUUUUAAUAGUUGUUAUUGCUCUAUAAAUAUACACAUUGGUAAAUCAA